GCCGCCUCCCACCCACCAACAAUAUGUUUGGGUUGGCGCAGAUAGAAAAGGCUAAAGAAGAUCGAUCAUAGGAGCAGAAGAAGAGCCCAAGGGAAAACAAGCAAAUGAGCAGCCAAGGUCUCAUCCCAUGACAGAGGCACAGUUCCUCGCCUGGAAACGCCGAAAGGAUGCAGAUGCCUCAGCUUGAAAAGCUGAAGCAGCUAGGAAACGUGCAGAAGAUAUUAGCUGCAGGGACAGUGCAAAUGAAUGGGCUGGAGCUGUUCUUGCUUGAGCCCUGGGUGUUUGAUAACUCUCAAUAUUGAAGGUUUUGACUCAACAUUCGUCGUUUUGGUUAAAUUUGAUGUUGCGUUCAUGUAAUUAACCCAAGAAUUCAAUUGAAUUGAAUUCCAGCAUUCAUGAAUGGCUGCUUGGUGUAACUGCUGAGGAUCCUGCAUUUGCGAUUGAAUUGUAAUGUCAUCUUUGGGGGAAAAUCCCCAACUGCUGAGCCAUUGCUGCUGCCUGAGGAUGUUGCAUGUAAUAUGCUCCUUGUUGCAUUGCAGGCUGUGGGGCCAUCUGAAAGUGUAGGUGCACAAGAGCAAGAAGUGCGAGUGUCACUAAACUACUAAAAGAUGAACUGCAUGCCUGGGGAGGCAUUGUUGAUGCCUGUCUUUGUGCACCAGCAAUUGCGGCUAAAUACAUUAAAGUCGUUUGCAGCUGGGCUUGAUACCUAGAUCAUCAAAAUCAUAGUGAUUUAUAUAUAUAUAAAGCAGUGAUAUGUUUGUUUCCAGCAGGUCCCGAAGCUGAAACUACUGUGGUUGUGACACCAAACAGAAGAAUAUUAUUAAUCUUUAUGAGAAAAGAGUUUUUUGUUUUGCUGUAUCAGUUACAUGAUAGUCUAUAACUAAAUUGAUUUGUCUUCCUCUUACUUGUAUAAUUAUCAAUUGAGUUAUUCAACACUAGUUGUUCAAUAACAUGAUCAAUCUGGUGGUUAGCAGUAUGAUUUGAUA